rnacentral:rRNA from 2 species
GGGUUGUGAGGUUAAGCGACUAAGCGUACACGGUGGAUGCCCUGGCAGUCAGAGGCGAUGAAGGACGUGCUAAUCUGCGAAAAGCGCCGGCGAGGUGAUAUGAACCUUUGACCCGGCGAUGUCCGAAUGGGGAAACCCAGUGCAAUUCGUUGCACUAUCGUUAACUGAAUACAUAGGUUAACGAGGCGAACCGGGGGAACUGAAACAUCUAAGUACCCCGAGGAAAAGAAAUCAACCGAGAUUCCCCCAGUAGCGGCGAGCGAACGGGGAGCAGCCCAGAGUCUGAAUCAGUUUGUGUGUUAGUGGAAGCGUCUGGAAAGUCGCACGGUACAGGGUGACAGUCCCGUACACGAAAACACACAGGUUGUGAACUCGAAGAGUAGGGCGGGACACGUGAUAUCCUGUCUGAAUAUGGGGGGACCAUCCUCCAAGGCUAAAUACUCCUGACUGACCGAUAGUGAACCAGUACCGUGAGGGAAAGGCGAAAAGAACCCCGGCGAGGGGAGUGAAAAAGAACCUGAAACCGUGUACGUACAAGCAGUGGGAGCACCUUCGUGGUGUGACUGCGUACCUUUUGUAUAAUGGGUCAGCGACUUAUAUUCUGUAGCAAGGUUAACCGUAUAGGGGAGCCGAAGGGAAACCGAGUCUUAACUGGGCGUUAAGUUGCAGGGUAUAGACCCGAAACCCGGUGAUCUAGCCAUGGGCAGGUUGAAGGUUGGGUAACACUAACUGGAGGACCGAACCGACUAAUGUUGAAAAAUUAGCGGAUGACUUGUGGCUGGGGGUGAAAGGCCAAUCAAACCGGGAGAUAGCUGGUUCUCCCCGAAAGCUAUUUAGGUAGCGCCUCGUGAACUCAUCUUCGGGGGUAGAGCACUGUUUCGGCUAGGGGGCCAUCCCGGCUUACCAACCCGAUGCAAACUACGAAUACCGAAGAAUGUUAUCACGGGAGACACACGGCGGGUGCUAACGUCCGUCGUGAAGAGGGAAACAACCCAGACCGCCAGCUAAGGUCCCAAAGUCAUGGUUAAGUGGGAAACGAUGUGGGAAGGCACAGACAGCCAGGAUGUUGGCUUAGAAGCAGCCAUCAUUUAAAGAAAGCGUAAUAGCUCACUGGUCGAGUCGGCCUGCGCGGAAGAUGUAACGGGGCUAAACCAUGCACCGAAGCUGCGGCAGCGACGCUUAUGCGUUGUUGGGUAGGGGAGCGUUCUGUAAGCCGUUGAAGGUGUGCUGUGAGGCAUGCUGGAGGUAUCAGAAGUGCGAAUGCUGACAUAAGUAACGAUAAAGCGGGUGAAAAGCCCGCUCGCCGGAAGACCAAGGGUUCCUGUCCAACGUUAAUCGGGGCAGGGUGAGUCGACCCCUAAGGCGAGGCCGAAAGGCGUAGUCGAUGGGAAACAGGUUAAUAUUCCUGUACUUGGUGUUACUGCGAAGGGGGGACGGAGAAGGCUAUGUUAGCCGGGCGACGGUUGUCCCGGUUUAAGCAUGUAGGCGGAGGUUCCAGGUAAAUCCGGUACCUUUUAACGCUGAGGUGUGAUGACGAGGCACUACGGUGCUGAAGUAACAAAUGCCCUGCUUCCAGGAAAAGCCUCUAAGCAUCAGGUAACAUUAAAUCGUACCCCAAACCGACACAGGUGGUCAGGUAGAGAAUACCAAGGCGCUUGAGAGAACUCGGGUGAAGGAACUAGGCAAAAUGGUGCCGUAACUUCGGGAGAAGGCACGCUGAUAUGUAGGUGAAGCCCCUGCGGGUGGAGCUGAAAUCAGUCGAAGAUACCAGCUGGCUGCAACUGUUUAUUAAAAACACAGCACUGUGCAAACACGAAAGUGGACGUAUACGGUGUGACGCCUGCCCGGUGCCGGAAGGUUAAUUGAUGGGGUUAGCGGCAACGCGAAGCUCUUGAUCGAAGCCCCGGUAAACGGCGGCCGUAACUAUAACGGUCCUAAGGUAGCGAAAUUCCUUGUCGGGUAAGUUCCGACCUGCACGAAUGGCGUAAUGAUGGCCAGGCUGUCUCCACCCGAGACUCAGUGAAAUUGAACUCGCUGUGAAGAUGCAGUGUACCCGCGGCAAGACGGAAAGACCCCGUGAACCUUUACUAUAGCUUGACACUGAACACUGGUCCUUGAUGUGUAGGAUAGGUGGGAGGCUUUGAAGUGUGGACGCCAGUCUGCGUGGAGCCGUCCUUGAAAUACCACCCUUUAAUGGCUGGUGUUCUAACGUAGACCCGUGAUCCGGGUUGCGGACAGUGUCUGGUGGGUAGUUUGACUGGGGCGGUCUCCUCCCAAAGAGUAACGGAGGAGCACGAAGGUUAGCUAAUCCUGGUCGGACAUCAGGAGGUUAGUGCAAUGGCAUAAGCUAGCUUGACUGCGAGAGUGACGGCUCGAGCAGGUGCGAAAGCAGGUCAUAGUGAUCCGGUGGUUCUGAAUGGAAGGGCCAUCGCUCAACGGAUAAAAGGUACUCCGGGGAUAACAGGCUGAUACCGCCCAAGAGUUCAUAUCGACGGCGGUGUUUGGCACCUCGAUGUCGGCUCAUCACAUCCUGGGGCUGAAGUAGGUCCCAAGGGUAUGGCUGUUCGCCAUUUAAAGUGGUACGCGAGCUGGGUUUAGAACGUCGUGAGACAGUUCGGUCCCUAUCUGCCGUGGGCGCUGGAGAAUUGAGGGGGGCUGCUCCUAGUACGAGAGGACCGGAGUGGACGCAUCACUGGUGUUCGGGUUGUCAUGCCAAUGGCACUGCCCGGUAGCUAAAUGCGGAAAAGAUAAGUGCUGAAAGCAUCUAAGCACGAAACUUGCCCCGAGAUGAGUUCUCCCUGACUCCUUGAGAGUCCUGAAGGAACGUUGAAGACGACGACGUUGAUAGGUCGGGUGUGUAAGCGCAGCGAUGCGUUGAGCUAACCGAUACUAAUGAACCGUGAGGCUUAACCUUACAACGCCGAAG